UACGUAGGUGGCAAGCGUUAAUCGGAAUUACUGGGCGUAAAGCGUGCGCAGGCGGUUUGUUAAGUCUGCUGUGAAAUCCCCGAGCUCAACUUGGGAAUUGCAGUGGAUACUGGCAAGCUAGAGUAUGGUAGAGGAAGGUGGAAUUCCCGGUGUAGCAGUGAAAUGCGUAGAGAUCGGGAGGAACACCAGUGGCGAAGGCGGCCGACUGGGCCGAUCCUGACGCUGAGACCCGAAAGCCAGGGUAGCGAACCGG
rnacentral:rRNA from 1 species